CUAGGCACAACAUCAUAGGCCAAAGGGCCUGUUCUGUGCUGUACUUUUCUAUGUUCUAGUUCCCUUCCUCAACUGUUCUGCUGUUACAGAGAAGGGCCAUAUUAUGUCAGAGAAAUUAUGGACUAGAAUUUAGCUAAUAGCAAGGAAAUAUUUCUAACUAAUCAUGAAGAAAACUUUUAUAAGCCAAUAAAAACAGAGUUAAAUAUCAUUCAACGAAAUCUGAUUUCUUUUUAGCAGCAUGGCUAACCAUGUGAAAAAGGUGGUAGGUAUUUGGCUUUUUACUGUUAAGGGAUUUCAUUCUGUAGAAAUAUAGAAUCACUGACAACAACUUUUUACUUUCUAUACUGUUCUAUGUAUGUACAGACUCCUACAUUGUUCUUAAUUUUGGUGGAAAUGUCCUUCAUCAAAAAUGGUUUCGUAACUCGACAACUGGCCAUGUUCUGAAAGAUCUGCGAGAGAAGGACUGUGGCAAGUAAAGAGGGAGCCAGCAGAAUGAGAUGCGAUGAUCAAGGAGGAAUAACAACAGCUGUUAUUCCUCAGGUCGCUUAGGAAAUUCAGCAUGUGCACAAGGACCCUCACCAACGUUUACAGAUGCACCAUAGAAAGCAACUGCUCUGCCCAGGACCAUAAGAAACUACAGAAACCUGUGUGUACAGCCCAGACCAUCACAGAGGCCCACCUCUCAUCCAAGUAAAGGCACUUCUCAUUGCAGCUGAAAGGCAGCCAACAUCAUCGAAGACCCCUCCCACUCUGGUGCCUAUCUUGACUUCAGAACCAGUUUUCCCCAUGGACAUUGAGACAUGGCUGCCUGCUUGCUGCAUAUGCAGUUUGUUCACUGCGUAAGCUGCUGGCACAUAGAGCAGGGGAGAAUUUGAUGUAGCACACUGCCUCCUCCCAGACUGAGGACUGCUGAUCAGCUGCCUGGUAUGCAACUGUGCUAAUUAGCAAGGUAUGGUAUGGCAUGGAUGCCCCGGGUAUACAGGUAGGCACUAAGUGACUGAGCAGUAAGAAAGCACACAAGCAGCCCCCAGAAAAUGGAGGAGCAACAAAUAAAUUAUCUUAAUGAGCAGCUUCAUUCUCAACUUAAUUUUUAAAAGUGUAAAAUAUUUAACUGAAGAUGUUUUCUCUAUUUUGAGAUUCAAAAGCAGAAUGAAGAAUGCAUUAAAUACACCAGUAGAAGACCACAAAGACUCUGGUACAUAGCAAAUUGAUUGUAUAUUAUCGUUUGGUAUGAUCAUUCCUCCAAUCAUCCAAGUGGCACACUGGAUCACUUAUUACACUGAUUUCACUUCAAAAAAGCAUUCAUUUCAAGUUCAGAAAUUAUCUUAGAAUGCUUUGGUUGGCAUUGUUUGAGGAAGUAUGCCACUGAGAAGAAGUAAAUAUUUGUCACAAACCAAAUUGUUUGAAAAAUGUAAUCUUUGCAACUUUGUGACAUGUUUUGUAGUUUUAUAAUGUUUUUCAAUAUGGUUCAACUAAAUGAAUUAUUAUACUCACAAUAGGCAUAAGAAAUUGUAUUAAUACUCUCUUGCAAGUCAAGAUGCUUAAUACUAAUUAAUUAAUUAAGUAAUAAUUAAAUUCCAUAUAGAGAAAUUGAAUGUUAUUUCUAUGGUCAACUGUAAACUGCUAUGGCAAAACUUGUUUGCUACAAAUGUGCUAAUGGCAUAUAAACCUGCCAUUGUCAAAUACAAAAGCAAAGAUGGAAUUUCUUUUCAAGCAUGUUUUCAAGUGGAGGCUGGAAGGGACAAAGAGUUACUUGGGUGGUCUGAACACACAAGGCUUUUUAGAUUGAGAAGGUACCAUAGAAAUCAUUGUACACAUUUUGUCAAUAAAUGGAUGGCAAUUUUCUGCUUUCACAAUUGGAUUUUGGACAAUUUUGGAAAAUGCAUGUAUCUACCCAACUUCAUGUCAAAUUUGUGGGACAAGUUUUUUUUAAAUCAAAAGCUAUCAUGUAAAGAACCUUUAUAGACUGAGUCAGAGUAAUGGAGUUGAAGGUGAUGCAGAGUUUUUAAAUUACGUUUUAUUUCAGCUCAAUAAAAGCUUAUUAACAUUGAAUACAGGUCAAAAUCCUAUGUAAAAAUGUGAAAUGUGCUGGGGUCUGUAUUCAGCAUUCUAUUAUGACUUCAGAGAUUACACCACCUAUCUUGAUGUCAAUUGAAUGUAUAAAAUAAAUUGUAGUUAUAAAAAGUAAAUAGUUUGUGUGGAAAACUGUUUAUGUUUGUCAGGCAAUUAGAAAAAUGUCCUCUGGAGUUGCAGUGGGAAGGAAUUUUUUUAUGCAGUUCAUUUAUUCAGAUAUUUAUGCUAUUUGCUUUCAGUACCAAAGAUAAAACAUCUAAGAAGAAAAUAUUCAAGUCGAUUUCACUUCCCUGAAUUAAAACUCCUUUUAAAAUUAUAAUCUUGUUCAGCUUUUUUCUGAAUUCCUCUCAAAGGAUUUAGGAUGCAUUUCUUCACACAGUGUUGUAAAUAUGGAACUUGUUGCUACAUGGACUGGAUGAAGAAAAUGACAAUGAUGUUUUUAAGUGGUGGCUUGAUUAAUACAUGAGAAAAACAGAGAAACAUAAGACAGGGUGGAAGCGAUCAUUUGAGUAGGAGCAUGCAUAAAGUAGCAUAUAACUGGGAUAGAUCAGUUAGGCAGUAUCUGUUUUUUUGUCAAUAUGAAUUUUUAUGUUACUCCGGUUCAAGAAGGCAACUCACUACCACAUUCUUAAGGGCAAUUAAUUAAUGAUGGGCAAU